rnacentral:rRNA from 1 species
CCUACGGGAGGCAGCAGUGGGGAAUAUUGGACAAUGGGCGAAAGCCUGAUCCAGCCAUGCCGCGUGUGUGAAGAAGGCCUUCGGGUUGUAAAGCACUUUCAGUGGGGAAGAAAGCCUUGGGGCUAAUACCCUCGAGGAAGGACAUCACCCACAGAAGAAGCACCGGCUAACUCCGUGCCAGCAGCCGCGGUAAUACGGAGGGUGCGAGCGUUAAUCGGAAUUACUGGGCGUAAAGCGCGCGUAGGCGGUCUGAUAAGCCGGUUGUGAAAGCCCCGGGCUCAACCUGGGAACGGCAUCCGGAACUGUCAGGCUAGAGUGCAGGAGAGGAAGGUAGAAUUCCCGGUGUAGCGGUGAAAUGCGUAGAGAUAGGGAGGAAUACCAGUGGCGAAGGCGGCCUUCUGGACUGACACUGACGCUGAGGUGCGAAAGCGUGGGUAGCAAACAGGAUUAGAUACCCCAGUAGUC